CAUGGUUACAACCUUCUCUAAAACAAACAAAAAGAAUACAAUGUACUGUCAGGGACAAGAGACAAAGAUAAGGAAGGAAGAGACUGGAAUGUGGCAAUUUAGAAGGUCAGAGUUGACCUUGGCAGAAGAAUCCUGAGUGUGGUUUCUGGGAAAAGAACAGAUUGCAGGAACUACAUACAGAGUGGGCAGAACUGCAAGUGGAAACAUCCUUCCAGGUGAGAAGAUCUAUCGUUUCUUCAUAGGGAGAAAACAAAAUAUCCUCUACACAGACAACCAUCCACUCCCCAUCUCCUAUGCAAAGAUCCAUGGUUGAUUGAAUCUGUCAAUUAAGAGCCCGAAUCGGCAGGGACUGUCAGCACUUCUCUUGGCCACCAGUAAUCAGGACCGUGGCUAAAUUAACAAAGAAGAAAUCUAGAACAAGACAGCACUGACUUCAGUUCUGGGCCUGGUGUCUGCAGUUUUUAUAACCUUGCCCUUGACAGUCAAAGGACAUCCCAUCUACACAAAAUCUUUCUCCUUGAGUCAAGAAGGAAACACACCAGAGAAGGCAUCGGACCCCA